UGGGGAAUAUUGCGCAAUGGGCGAAAGCCUGACGCAGCAACGCCGCGUGAGUGAUGAAGGCCUUCGGGUCGUAAAGCUCUGUCGGAGGGAACGAAUGCUCCUGAAGUUAACAGCCUCAGGAGGUGACGGUACCCUCAAAGGAAGCACCGGCUAACUCUGUGCCAGCAGCCGCGGUAAUACAGAGGGUGCAAGCGUUGUUCGGAAUUACUGGGCGUAAAGGGCGCGUAGGCGGCAAUUCAAGUCAUCUGUGAAAUCUCCGGGCUUAACUCGGAACGGUCAGAUGAUACUGCUUUGCUAGAGUGCAGAAGGGGCAAUCGGAAUUCUUGGUGUAGCGGUGAAAUGCGUAGAUAUCAAGAGGAACACCUGAGGUGAAGACGGGUUGCUGGGCUGACACUGACGCUGAGGCGCGAAAGCCAGGGGAGCAAACGGGAUUAGAUACCCCCGUAGUCCCUGAGCGGGCUGGCAAGGCG
rnacentral:rRNA from 1 species